GAUGAACGCUGGCGGCGUGCCUAAUACAUGCAAGUCGAGCGAACGGACGAGAAGCUUGCUUCUCUGAUGUUAGCGGCGGACGGGUGAGUAACACGUGGAUAACCUACCUAUAAGAGUGGGAACACUUCGGGAAACCGGAGCUAAUACCGGAUAAUAUUUUGAACCGCAUGGUUCAAAAGUGAAAGACGGUCUUGCGGUCAGUUAUAGAUGGAUCCGCGCUGCAUUAGCUAGUUGGUAAGGUAACGGCUUACCAAGGGGACGAUGCAUAGCCGACCUGAGAGAGUGAUCGGCCACACGGGAGCUGAGACACGGUCCAGGCGCCUACGGGAGGCAGCAGUAGCGAAUCUUCCGCAAUGGGCGAAAGCCUGACGGAGCAACGCCGCGUGAGUGAUGAAGGUCUUCGGAUCGUAAAACUCUGUUAUUAGGGAAGAACAUAUGUGUAAGUAACUGUGCACAUCGUGACGGUACCUAAUCAGAAAGCCCCGGCUAACUACGUG
rnacentral:rRNA from 1 species